CACUCCUGGAAAUGGGCAAAGAGACACGUUGUUGGUGCCGGUAUUUUUAUAUCAGUCAGGGACAGAGCAGGUGGCAGUCUUUUGUUCAUCCUUGCUUUGGUGCCUAGCUUCAUAGCCAAAGCUGUUUUAUGCCUAGGACUCAUAA